rnacentral:pre_miRNA from 1 species
AAUUGACCAAUUACAGUCGAAUCCGAGAAGAAUAAACGACUGUGAUUCGCCCAUUUCUUAUGGCUUAAGGCUUAAAACUCUAUUGUAGAUCCGGACUUAAGCCGGUUCUACAUUAGCCCGGAUUUACAACAAAUUUUUAAGCCUUAUGCCAUAAGAAAUGGAUGAAUCACAAUCGAUUAUUCUUCUCGCAUUCUGCUGUAAUUGGUCAAUU